UUCCUACGGGACGCAGCAGUGAGGAAUAUUGGUCAAUGGGAGAGAUCCUGAACCAGCCAAGCCGCGUGAGGGAUGACGGUCCUAUGGAUUGUAAACCUCUUUUGUCAGGGAGCAAAGGGCGCCACGUGUGGCGUUUUGCGAGUACCUGAAGAAAAAGCAUCGGCUAACUCCGUGCCAGCAGCCGCGGUAAUACGGAGGAUGCGAGCGUUAUCCGGAUUUAUUGGGUUUAAAGGGUGCGCAGGCGGAAUGUCAAGUCAGCGGUAAAAUUUCGGGGCUCAACCCCGUCGUGCCGUUGAAACUGGCGU
rnacentral:rRNA from 1 species